rnacentral:rRNA from 1 species
UACGUAGGGAGCAAGCGUUGUCCGGAAUCAUUGGGCGUAAAGCGCGCGUAGGUGGCCUCAUAAGUCCGCUGUGAAAGUCAAAGGCUCAACCUCGAACUUGCGGUGGGUACGGGCAGACUAGAGUGUGGUAGGGGAGACUGGAAUUCCUGGUGUAGCGGUGAAAUGCGCAGAUAUCAGGAGGAAUACCAGAGGCGAAGGCGGCUACCUGGACAAUUGCUGACGCUCAGGCACGAAAGCGUGGGGAGCAAACAGG